rnacentral:rRNA from 1 species
ACGAACGCUGGCGGCGUGCUUAACACAUGCAAGUCGAACGGAAAGGCCCUGCUUUUGUGGGGUGCUCGAGUGGCGAACGGGUGAGUAACACGUGAGUAACCUGCCCCUGACUUUGGGAUAACUUCAGGAAACUGGGGCUAAUACCGGAUAGGAGCUCCUGCUGCAUGGUGGGGGUUGGAAAGUUUCGGCGGUUGGGGAUGGACUCGCGGCUUAUCAGCUUGUUGGUGGGGUAGUGGCUACCAAGGCUUUGACGGGUAGCCGGCCUGAGAGGGUGACCGGCCACAUUGGGACUGAGAUACGGCCCAGACUCCUACGGGAGGCAGCAGUGGGGAAUAUUGCACAAUGGGCGGAAGCCUGAUGCAGCAACGCCGCGUGCGGGAUGACGGCCUUCGGGUUGUAAACCGCUUUCGCCUGUGACGAAGCGUGAGUGACGGUAAUGGGUAAAGAAGCACCGGCUAACUACGUG